AUACGUAGGGGGCUAGCGUUAUCCGGAAUUACUGGGCGUAAAGGGUGCGUAGGCGGCAUGGCAAGUCAGAUGUGAAAUUCCCGGGCUUAACUCGGGGGGUGCAUUUGAAACUGCUGAGCUUGAGUGCAGGAGAGGAAAGCGGAAUUCCUAGUGUAGCGGUGAAAUGCGUAGAUAUUAGGAGGAACACCAGUGGCGAAGGCGGCUUUCUGGACUGUAACUGACGCUGAGGCACGAAAGCGUGGGGAGC
rnacentral:rRNA from 1 species